GACCUCGCGAGAGCAAGCGGACCUCAUAAAGUGCGUCGUAGUCCGGAUUGGAGUCUGCAACUCGACUCCAUGAAGUCNGAAUCGCUAGUAAUCGUGGAUCAGAAUGCCACGGUGAAUACGUUCCCGGGCCUUGUACACACCGCCCGUCACACCAUGGGAGUGGGUUGCAAAAGAAGUAGGUAGCUUAACCUUCGGGAGGGCGCUUACCACUUUGUGAUUCAUGACUGGGGUGAAGUCGUAACAAGGUAACCGUAGGGGAACCUGCGGUUGGAUCACCUCCUUACCUUAAAGAA
rnacentral:rRNA from 1 species